rnacentral:lncRNA from 1 species
AGACGACCAAAGAAAACCAGAACGAGUUGAUCAAAAGAAAACCGAUCGCGUAAGUUAUAUUACUAUAUAUUUGCUUCUGAUUUUCGAACUCAAGCACAGGCCGCUGAUACGGUUAGAGCGCUGCAUGCCCCUCACCUAAGGGAUUUACUUAGGUUGGGUAAGUUCCCUGUACUUGAAAACUCGUGUAAGUAGAGUUUAUGGUUGGCUCUCUCCUGUCCUUCGAGGGUUUUCCUCGGUCACUGACUAACACUUAGCCUGCGAGGCAGAAACUAACCCUUGCUGAGGUUUUCCGUCUAUCUCAGUGGUAAACGCAUUAAACUAAACUAAACGUUAAGCAAAAUUACUUGGCCUUAUAUCUAAUCUUGAGUGGAAACUUCCUUACAGCUUUCAAGAUCAGGUCAUGUUUUGAAAGGACGCGGCAGAAUGGUGAGAAAUUAUAGAAUAUUUUAUUGCUUAUGAACCAAAGGCUAUACAAUAAAAUUCGUGCUUCUUACCUACUUUAUUUUUCACCCUGCUCGGUUUCCUUUGUUCUUAUCGGGGAAUAUAUUCAAUAUUCCCCUCUAAUCAAUUUCCGUUUAAUAACCCCCUCUAAUAUUCACCUAGGGAUAUGUGUUUAUUCACCUUGGCGCUGAGCGCCUCGGUGGAUAAAUCACAUAUCCCCUCGUUGCCUCAAAAUAACCUAUACUUAAUUUCUUUUAAUAAUUGCUUCCAAGCUUAGCACUAACACAUUAUUCUUGGCACGGUGUGCAAUUACUCAUACCCUGAUUUUCUGGAUAUUAUUGCGAAGCUCAGGGAGGUCCAUUAAGCAACUGAUUGUGACGCAUAGUACCAGAUUACAGUAUAGCACAUGAGAUAUAUGAUAAUAAUAUGAUAAAAAUCACAUACUUCACAGUAUUUUCUGCACUCUUAUUUCUUGGUCUUUGAUUAGGCAUAACAUAGCAUAUAAACCCACAUUUCCCCUCAGAUUUGUACGAAAGUGCACUUUGGAGACCAACGGAGGAGGGGCAAGUUCACAUGCAGGCUUAGUGGAGGGGCAAGUUCACAUGCAGGCUUAGUGGAGGGGCAAGUUCACAUGCAGGCUUAGUGGAGGGGCAAGUUCACAUGCAAGUUCACACCCACCACUUGGGUAGUAACUCUUAGGCUUGAUCUUACUUUAUAAACCAUCUAGUCUAUUCAUCACAAUCUAUAAAACAAUAUGAUCCACAUCUUAUAGAUGUAUCGCACUCCACCGAGAUCUCCAUCGAGAUCUCCAUCGCCAAGUGAACGUAGAACGUCAUCAAGCAGACGUCGAUCACCGCGUAGAUCAUACAAAAGAUCAAGAAGUCCAGAAUACAGAAAACCCAGGCGAAAUAAUGAUAGGCGUGAUCGUUGGUCUCGAAGUCGUUC